rnacentral:rRNA from 1 species
UCUCCAGACUCCUACGGGAGGCAGCAGUGGGGAAUAUUGGGCAAUGGGCGCAAGCCUGACCCAGCAACGCCGCGUGAAGGAAGAAGGCUUUCGGGUUGUAAACUUCUUUUAAGAGGGAAGAGCAGAAGACGGUACCUCUUGAAUAAGCCACGGCUAACUACGUGCCAGCAGCCGCGGUAAUACGUAGGGGGCAAGCGUUAUCCGGAUUUACUGGGUGUAAAGGGAGCGUAGACGGUCCUGCAAGCCAGAUGUGAAAGCCCGGGGCUCAACCCCGGGACUGCAUUUGGAACUGUAAGGCUAGAGUGUCGGAGAGGCAGGCGGAAUUCCUAGUGUAGCGGUGAAAUGCGUAGAUAUUAGGAGGAACACCAGUGGCGAAGGCGGCCUGCUGGACGACAACUGACGGUGAGGCGCGAAAGCGUGGGGAGCAAACAGGAUUAGAUACCCCCGUACC